UACGUAGGGUGCGAGCGUUGUCCGGAAUUAUUGGGCGUAAAGAGCUUGUAGGCGGUUUGUCGCGUCUGCUGUGAAAAUCCGGGGCUCAACCCCGGACUUGCAGUGGGUACGGGCAGACUAGAGUGUGGUAGGGGAGACUGGAAUUCCUGGUGUAGCAGUGAAAUGCGUAGAUAUCAGGAGGAACACCGAUGGCGAAGGCAGGUCUCUGGGCCACUACUGACGCUGAGAAGCGAAAGCAUGGGGAGCGAACAGGAUUAGAUA
rnacentral:rRNA from 1 species